AUUGAACGCUGGCGGCAUGCCUUACACAUGCAAGUCGAACGGUAACAGGGAGCUUGCUCCGCUGACGAGUGGCGAACGGGUGAGUAAAGCAUCGGAACGUACCAUUGAGUGGGGGAUAACGUAGCGAAAGUUACGCUAAUACCGCAUAUUCUCUCCGGAGGAAAGCAGGGGAUCGCAAGACCUUGUGCUCUUUGAGCGGCCGAUGUCAGAUUAGCUAGUUGGUGGGGUAAGGCCUACCAAGGCGACGAUCUGUAGCGGGUCUGAGAGGAUGAUCCGCCACACUGGGCCUGAGGCACGGCCCAGACUCCUACGGGAGGCAGCAGUGGGGAAUUUUGGACAAUGGGGGCAACCCUGAUCCAGCCAUGCCGCGUGAGUGAAGAAGGCCUUCGGGUUGUAAAGCUCUUUCGGCCGGGAAGAAAUCGCAAAGGCUAAUAUCCUUUGUGGAUGACGGUACCGGAAUAAGAAGCACCGGCUAACUACGUGCCAGCCGCCGCCGUAA
rnacentral:rRNA from 1 species